ACCAGCAGGGGAACUCCGUUCCAAGAACAAUGGGGCGACCGCUCACGUCUAGGUUCAAUCCGGUACUAGGCUUCCUUAUCCCAUACUAAGUAUGAGGCUAGUACUUUCAAACACUUGAUCACGAACACCACCACUGUCGGGCCUUAGCAAGUUUUCAGAGACAGACGGGGCAACCAUCCGUCCACCAAAGAGUUACCAAAACCCUGCCCUGCCCAUCGUCCUUAUAGUUGUAACAGAAGGUAGACAUCCAACUCCUAUAACUCGCGAGUGACAGGGAAUCACUCGACUUUUACUGCUUCCUUUUUAAGCAAGCAGCUACUCGGUCCAACAGUUAGUGUUCAGAUCAUGGGAACUAAGAUAUGCAUCUAGGGUUCCAACAACUCCUAUACGUAAAUGCACAAGCAUGUUACAGAAAGAAUGCGCAAGUUUGGUAAAACACACAGGGUUUUCAUGCAACCGGGGCUUGCCUUCGAGCAAGGAGGAAGAGAACUGCUCGACUUCUGGGGCGGCUUCGGCUUCGGAGGGCAGGAGCUCGGCUACACCGUCGUCUUCUGGCGCUGGGUGCAGCUCGUAGAAGCCGUCGGCGAGGCGCAGCUCUACACGAAUGCAAUGCAAGAGUUAGCAUUUAGAUGGUUAUUUCAACAGCAACACUUGCAAGUCUGAGCCCAGAAACUUGCGACAAGUGACAAGAGGGUGGGGAGGUUCAAGGGAGUUUGAUGGAGAUCAAGAGGUAAGGGUCGGAGGAAGGAACUUAGGAUCGGAUCCUUAGACUAGAGAAACAGCUGUGCUAGGGGUCCUCAGACUCAACGCUGAAGGGUCCCCAAGAUUUACAGAUACACCCUCGGUUCAAAGAAAAGGAUACGGCCGAAUCCUCGGGCGAGGCGGAGAAGGGUCGGCGGAACAGACAGGGUCGGGCGAGACGGAACUGGGGUCGGGCGGAUAAGAGGGGUCGGGCGAAGCGGACAAGGGUCGGACGAGGCGGAAAGGGGUCGGACCAACAAAAGGGUCGGACGAGGCGGAAAAGGGGGCGGCAGCUUACCUUCUUCUCACGAGGAAAGCUUGGGGUCGGCAAGGAGCAGGUUCGGGCGGAGGAACUGGAACACUAAGACUUGCGGCGGAGAUGUCCGGCGGUGCUCCGGCGGCGGCGGUGCUUCUUGUGGAUCACAAGUAAGCUCCUACGCAGCACGGAGGGGCAAGCGGCAGGGUGGAUCAGGGAAAGCGGUGUGGAGCGGAGAGGAGAGUUCCUCAGGGACUUAGGCUGUAGCGCUUUGAGCACGAAGUAGAGGAGCAAGGGAGAUGGCAGCUAGGGCAAGGGGAAACUCCGGCGGGGCUUGCGCAUUCCCUUUUAUAGCUGCUGGAAUGGGGAAGGGAAGCGACGCGGGAGAGAGAAGGGGAGCGGCGCGAAGGCCGGGGAGAAGCAAUGGAGUGCUCUGCCGGGGCGGCGAUUGAGCGACGAGGGCGGUGGUGCAGGACUCGGGGAUGACGCCAGUGGUCAUUGGGUUCUGUCGGCAGGGCGGCGCAGGAGCGGGUAUGCCGGUGGUUGAGAUUUGGCGGAGGCGGGCGUCGCCGUGCGGAAGAUUUGAUAGAAGCGACCGGCUUAACGGCGCUAGAAUCGAGGGCGCACACGUGAGAAGACAGGCGGGCUGCUGCUGCGCGGGCGAGCGCGAAACAACACUCUGUCGGGGCGGCUUCUGACGGGGCGGGAAAAGGAGCUGUCGCUGCCGUGGUCGGGGUUGGCGGAGGAGGAAUCGUCUUGUAGCGAAGACCGGGAGGCGCUACUGUGGCGAGGUGACGGAAAAGACGGGCGACAUUGGGCUCUGCGACCGGGAUCUGGCGAUGUGAUGAUGGGCGCGGGAGACGAGGCGCUGUAGAAAGGUUGCAGAGGGGCUUCCGCCGCCAUUGAGGAAGGGGGCGCGAGGAUCCAUUCGGUCGCGAGCCAGAGACAAAACUGAGCAGCGGCGUCGGAGAAGAUGAGCCACGCGGCGGGGAGACUCUGAAGCGGGCAUGCAACUCGAGUGCACCUGUCGCGGAAGAUCUGGGGGAAAAAGAUCUCGCGGGUCCACCGGGCGGAUAGAACGGGCGUUUGAGGAAGACUUAGAAGGAUCCGACGGUGAGCUGAGCUUUGCCGGGGUCGGGAUCGAAGCGAAGCGGGGAGGGGUCGGGUCUCAGGGGUCGGGACCGGUUGGAAGGUUGAACACUUAGGCCUGGAAAACUAAGACAUGGGAUCAGGGCUUCGAUUAAGAUUAACUUGGGAGAUUAGGGGGCCGGUCAUCACAUAAGGGUCCAUUUUCGGAAUUGGUUUCGCCAGGAGCCUAUUUGUGAGAUUUUUUCACGAAAAGGGCUAAAAUACAAAAAAGUCGGCCCCUAUGUACUCCCUCUAUCUCAGAAUAUAGCUACGUUUAGGUUUUUCCAAAGUUAAACCUUUUUAAGUUUGGCCAACAAUAUCUUUAAAAGUAAAUUGUUUCAAAUAGAAAUGAUUAUAUAUUAUGAUAGUUUGUUUCACGAUUAAUCUAGUAACAUCAUUU
rnacentral:lncRNA from 1 species